CCUACGGGAGGCAGCAGUAGGGAAUCUUCGGCAAUGGGGGCAACCCUGACCGAGCAACGCCGCGUGAGUGAAGAAGGUUUUCGGAUCGUAAAGCUCUGUUGUAAGAGAAGAACGAGUGUGAGAGUGGAAAGUUCACACUGUGACGGUAACUUACCAGAAAGGGACGGCUAACUACGUGCCAGCAGCCGCGGUAAUACGUAGGUCCCGAGCGUUAUCCGGAUUUAUUGGGCGUAAAGAGCUUGUAGGCGGUUUGUCGCGUCUGCUGUGAAAGGCCGGGGCUUAACCAUAGUUCGCUUUGGAAACUGUCAAACUUGAGUGCAGAAGGGGAGAGUGGAAUUCCAUGUGUAGCGGUGAAAUGCGUAGAUAUAUGGAGGAACACCGGUGGCGAAAGCGGCUCUCUGG
rnacentral:rRNA from 1 species